UACGAGGGGGGCAAGCGUUGUUCGGAAUUAUUGGGCGUAAAGGGUGCGUAGGCGGUCUGACAAGUCUGAUGUGAAAUCUAUGGGCUCAACCCAUAGUCUGCAUCGGAAACUGUCGGGCUUGAGUAUGGGAGAGGUGAGUGGAAUUUCCGGUGUAGCGGUGAAAUGCGUAGAUAUCGUCUGGAACGCCGAAGGUGAAAACAGCUCGCUGGGGCUGCGCUGACGCUGAGACACGAAAGCCAGGGGAGCGAACGGG
rnacentral:rRNA from 1 species